GGGGGUUCUGUGGUUGGCUAGGUAGUUUGCCAUAGGAUUUAGAUCCUCAUGAGCUUGCUUGUUGAGCCAAUUGAUUCUCCAACAUACAGUUAUGAGCUUGUAAUUGAUCCAUGGUUUGUCUUAUGUGUUGCAUUGCUUCCUCCAAUUUGCUAUUCAUCUUGCUUUGUUCAGUAAAAAAUUUCUCCAUCAUGCUUUCCAAGGUUGGUUUUGGUUCAGG
rnacentral:misc_RNA from 1 species